AACGCACCUUGCGCUCUGCGGUAUUCCGCGGAGCAUGCCUGUUUGAGUGUCGUGAAAUCCUCUCGACCCGACCUCUUUAUUAUGAAGGGAACGGGCUCGGAUCAUGGCCGAUCAGGUUCUUCUCACGGAGAACCCGGCUGAAAUGCAGCUUGGGAGCAUUCCUGAAGCGUGACGCAAUGUUGUAAAUUCAGUUCAUGACAUGGCGACGCGCUUGACAUGGGAAAUGUCCCAACUAAACCCCCACGCUCGAUGCAUUUCGACCUCAGAUCAGGUAGGACGACCCGCUGAACUUAA
rnacentral:misc_RNA from 1 species